AACGAACGCUGGCGGCAGGCCUAACACAUGCAAGUCGAGCGCCCCGCAAGGGGAGCGGCGGACGGGUGAGUAACGCGUGGGAACGUGCCCUUUGCUACGGAAUAGCCCCGGGAAACUGGGAGUAAUACCGUAUAAGCCCUACGGGGGAAAGAUUUAUCGGCAAAGGAUCGGCCCGCGUUGGAUUAGGUAGUUGGUGGGGUAAUGGCCUACCAAGCCGACGAUCCAUAGCUGGUUUGAGAGGAUGAUCAGCCACACUGGGACUGAGACACGGCCCAGACUCCUACGGGAGGCAGCAGUGGGGAAUCUUAGACAAUGGGCGCAAGCCUGAUCUAGCCAUGCCGCGUGAGCGAUGAAGGCCUUAGGGUUGUAAAGCUCUUUCGUGGGGGAAGAUAAAGACUGUACCCCAAAAAGAAGCCCCGGCUAACUCCGUGCCAGCCGCCGCGGUAAAAC
rnacentral:rRNA from 1 species